rnacentral:lncRNA from 1 species
UGCUUGUGUGACAGUUGGACAAGGAGUGUGGACCAGCACAGGGCCGGGGACAGGGCAUAUAAAACGAGUCCUGUAUCACAUCACAGGUAAGCCAGUCUCGGAGCCUCAUUCUUUUCCAUCAUACCACAGGCCCCUGUGUCCCAAGAAAGAAGUCUCUGAAAAGUUUUCUCCUGGGAAUAUUCAAGUUCUCAAGGACAGCUAUUUCGGUAGAAGACAGAAGAAGGUCUAACCUGAGAAAGCACAAGGCAGUCUCUAUGCUGAAGAAGUUAAAUGCCAGCUAUUUGGUCACGGGAAGAGAAAUCUCCUCCGUGGCUGUGUGGACUCCCGAAAACUGAACAGAGGAGCCUUUCUUUGGCUCUCGUGAAGACUUCUGUAUGUGUGUGCAAAACAGUCAAGUCAGGAGCGUCUAGAAAAAAUCAUGGCCUUCAGUGCCUGGCAGACCUAUGUUCAAAACUUAACUUGUUUUAUUUCACUAACGGUGUGAAUUUGGAAUAAAUUAUUCUCUGAGCCUCAA